GCUGGGAGGUUUUUAGCUCUCUAUGAUAUGUGAGGCAAAGUACUGCAACCAUAAAUGUCCAUUUUGCCAUCAGUAUCUUAAGGGGAAUUUGUAAAUGAAGAAAGUACCAAAGUGCAGUGAAGUAUUUGUUGUGUUUCAGAGAUCCAAAAUGACAUCAUUUCCAAGGCUUUUGGUCCAGAGUCCGAUUUCCAGAGAUAUCACCAUCUACCAAUUAAGGAAAAUGGCCCAGGAAAGGGGCUCCAAAGGAUUCUUGGCCCAGGAAAUGACUGGGAAAGACAGGUUCCUGCCUGAACUUCCACAAAAGGGCAACAGACCAACCCAGAAUCUGAAAGUCUUGCAGGUCAGGAGACCAAUAGGGCUGACCUGGAAGCAGUGGAAGGGCACGGAGAGGGCACACCUGAUAAGCAUGAAGGGAGAAUUCUCAGAGACCCCACAACCGGUCCAGAGCAAGAAGACCCCCAAAUUUCAAAAACAAAGAGAGAUUAUCCUAGAGGACAAUCUAAAGGACAAGUUGCAGGAGAGGAUGGACAAUUUGAGAGGAAAGGACGAUACUGUUAAAAAAGAAUAUUUAAAUGAAAUAUUUGAUUCAGAAAAACAGGAAAAGUCACAGAAGAAUGAUAAAGACAACAGAUCAGUGAUCAAGGAGGACAUCUCUACAAUUUCUGCAGAUAAUAUUCCAUCCAACUUCUUUGGAGAGAUGUCAACCAAUUCAUCCUCCAGCACUUAUCUCUUUAAGCAGCUGUCUGAUGGGGAAAUAAAGAUCAUUGAAGACAGCCUAUGUGGCACAAUAACAAUGGUUGAGCUUAAUGACCUGUCGGAGAGUAUAGUGGCAUGGGUGGUGGUGUCUAUUUCCAGGACGCUACUCCCAGCCAUCUCUCUGUAUGAAGAGAGAAGCAGAAGUCUGUCUCAGAGCUCCUUCCAGUCCCAGGUGCAUAUCAGCACCAACGAGGAGACCCUGCAGGCUACGCUCAGCUCUCACUCCCUGAGCAGAACUGGCUCCCAUUGCUCAGUGCAGGUCCAGAGGAAGAGCAGUGGCUUCAUAUGUGGGAGAAGCAGGACCUCCACUCCCUUUGCUUCACCAUGCUCAUCCUUGACUUCCCUGGAGAAUUACGCAGAGGAAGAGAGAGGCAAUGAUGCACCCAGCCACAUAAAAACUGGCACACCCUCACCCAAACUGGUGGAUACUGAAGGAAGGGAAAAGAUUGAGGAAGAUAGCUCUGAACCUCUAAAGAAACUGUUUGGAAUCCCUAAUUCUACCAUAAUCAAAAAUGCAGACUGUAUAGUACAAGAUGUUAUAGGUAGAGCACUCAUUGAAAUACAACAUCCUGCCCCCCAGGAAGAACCAUGGCAUUCUCAUGUCAGAAGCCUUAUACCUUCCUCUAGGUCCAGUAAUCUAGCAUCUAAAAUUCUAGAUGAUGUCCUUGAGUGUGUCAAUUCUGCCUUAUCAACAAGCAUACAACAAAAUUCCACCAAGAGGCCAGCAAAUGGUGUGCCAGACCAUCUGGAGACCCAGGAGGUGGAAUCCACAGACUCCCAGGUUGCCAGGAGGAUCUUACAGCUUGUUUCUGAGAAACUUGAGCCUUGUUUCACUGACACCGUUGAAGCAGUGACUCAGGAGGAAAUGGAGUCUGAGUUAGGAAUCGUGGCAUCGGAAAUCAUCAAUGCUGUCUUAGAAGAGAUCAAGACAGUUAAAGACAGGCAAAGGGUUAGUGAGUUAACUCCUGAUGUUCCGCAAAACAGAGAAAUGGUUACAUCCAUUGGAAGUUCUGUGACCAGGAGCAGCUCCUUUCAGCUUGUGCCACUCAAGCACAUUGAGACUGUAGAGGAAGUCUUUCCCAAGCAAGAAACAGAAGCUAAAUGUUUUCUGACUUGUGAUAUAAAUCCUCGAUCUUUUGAGUCACCAGUGGGAACCAAAAGAGUACUCAGGGAAAAUGUAAUGGGAAUCUCGGAAUCUGAGAUCAAUAAUACUCCUAAGCAGCUAGUUAAAAGGGAAGUUAGACCUGUUGCUAAGUGUUUAGCUGAUAGACACAAAUCAGAAUCUCGGGGGAGAGCAACGCUGUUAGUAAGUCAAGUUAUGAUGAGAGCUGCAGCAAAGCUCAAGUCUUUUAAUCCCUCUGAUCUUUUGGAGACUUCAGUCAGCAUUACUGGUGAAGCAGCUUUACUGACAGCACUGGAUAUGCCAAAACAUUCCCAGAGGACAGUGUCCUUAGGCUCAUCCAGUUUUUAUCUGGAAGUCAAUGCAGCAGCUUCUGGUCUUGUUGAUGCUAUUCUUGAAAAACUUCAGCGUGCGGCCGCCACUGAAAAGCACAAGGAUACAAAGGAAGCCUGCAACUCAGAUUUCCCACCAGAAUUUGAAACAGCAGUUUCAUCUAGGCAGGUUCAUUCAGUAAAUGAAGAUGUCUUUAAAACUGUGAUGACUAAACUAAAACAUUUUUUUAGUCAGGACACUCUGAUUGCAUUCAGUGCAGCAAAACGUUCACCUGACAAACAAGAUAAAUUAGAUGGCCCCCUGAAACAUUUUCCUACUUUAAAACGAGUUCUACCACAGACUAACUCCAGUGAACCUUAUUCUUUCAAGGAGAGCCACUUGAUGCAAAAAUCCGUUCUUCCUAUAUGUCCCAAUGCCUCAGAGCAUUUGGGUGUGUUAAGAGAUAUCAGUUCGUUGAGACCUAUCCUGAAAAGUCAGGAUAUUCAGUUAAUGGUGAAAACCUGUGCCCAGGACAUUGUCUGCCAGCUAAUGCAGACCAUCAAGAGUGAGAUGAAUAGGGUGGAAACAAUGAGAGCUACGCUCUCAGAGGAAUCCUUGCUGGCAAGUUUACAGGUAGAUACUAUUAUAAUACGAAUUGAGACUGUUAAAGUAUCAGAGCUGAACCUGUCUCUCAAUACCAAAGAGUCUGAGAAAGACAGAAAGGCAGAUGAAGAAGCAGUUGUCCGUAAGAAAAUAUGCUCUCGUCAGCAUGUUCAAACUGUCAAUGCACCUGCAACAGUAUUCCCUUCUCACAUGGGUCAGGUCGAGUACUGUAGCCGCAAUAUUCCUGGACAAACGCCAUCUAGUAUCUUCCCCAAGCUUCCAAGUCGAAUGAGUCUUGUAGCGAAACAGGGAGACACAGUGGCAUCUGAGAGCAGACAGCUGAGCCAAGCCCUGGUUUGGAAGGAACUCUCUACUUCACUUGAUCUGAUCAAGGAAUCACCCUCCAAUGGAACAUUGAGGGAACCAGAGAGAGCAAGAGCUGCCAGUGUUGAGGAAGGAGACCACUCCCUCACCUCACCAACCUGUGCGACUCCUGCUGGAACUAUCCAGGCAGCAAUUUCAUUGUCCAACAUUGAUUUUAUUGCCAUGAAAAUUGUCGAUAGAAUAGUGACUAGAUUUGAAUUAUUGGCAUGUGCAGAAGAUCAAUGUAAUCAUGCCACUAACAAAGACACAAGUGAGUGUGAUGUAACUCCCACCUCUAAGAGCCGAGCUCAUGAGUCAGUUGGGAGGAUUCACAAGGUGUCCCAUGGACUUCAGGACCCGGGGGCAAAUGUCUCGCUACUUCAGACAGGAGGGCCAGAAGAACGGGGCUGUUCAAACAGCUCCAUUGCAGUGGCUCCCACAAUGAACGCUGCUGGGAAGACACUGGGAGGGAUUCUCACCAGUAGCAUACCCAGUCUGUUUUCAGAGGAACUGAUCGAUACUGUUUCAAAAGUGAUUUCGGAGUCAAGCAUCACAAAAAAGUCAGAUAGCAAUCCCAACUCUGAAACAGCAGACAAGAAUUUGAAAACGUCUGUGUUUUCUAUUCAGUUUCUGAUUCUGUACGCUGAAAGAUCGGUGAGAAAGCUUUUGGAACUGGGUCUGACUUUCCCAGGUUCUCAAUCGAGAGAAUCAGAGGAACAUGAUGUUUUUGGUGCUCCACAUGUGUUUAAUAAGACAUUCUAUACCGUUGAACAAAAAGACAAAGAGUCUGUGACGAAUUCAGGACAUGGCCUAGAGAAGAGGAAUCACAGUUCACAGAUACAUAAUGAUGCAUUGGACCUGCUCACCAGAGCUCUGGUACAAUUCGUCAUCAAAGUUUUGUUUGCCAGCUAUGAUUUGCCAUUAGAGCCCAACAAUAGUGACAGUGAAGGGAUUGCCAGGAGUGUCUCUGUGGAAAGCACACAGGAGACCCUGGAAGAAAAAGUGAUUCUGGAUUGUGACACGAAAAGAUUCUCCAAGGGGAACGUUCCUGGCUCUGACAACACUGCUCAUUCCCUGCACACGGAAGAAAGAAAAAUAGAUGGGAAACUUACCCAAACAACAAGAGGAAGACCUUUAAUAACCUACGGGGUUCUGCCGCCAAUAAAAGAGAGACCACGUCAGGGGCAGCCAAGCAGCAAGGAUGAGCCUGGACAACAGACAGUGGGUGAACUCCAGACUGAGGAAGGAAUGUCCCCCGGAGAGAGACCGUGGAACAAAAAACAGGAACCUCCUGCAAAAGGUAACAGAGGAGCCACUCUGGAGCCUAUGAGGAGACCAGAAGCUAAGCCAGCUGAUGUGUCUUUAGAACAGCAGGUUGUUGAACCUGUUUCUUCAGCAGGGCAGAAUACAAAAACCACAACUUCUACAGUAAAAUCAGCAGACUCGUUUGUCACUGUGUUGAGCUUUGAAACUCUAUACGUUUUAAGUAUGCAUCUAUCAAAAGUGUAUUUAAGGAAAAUUAUGUUUUAAUUAAAUGUUCUAUUACUGUAUGCAAUUAUUUUAAGAGUGAAUUCCCCAUCUAUUUUA
ensembl:lincRNA